AAAAGAUACAUGCAUCUUUUGACGAUUUAAAACCUGAACAUAAUAAAGCGUUGCAACGCGAAACGAUUGAAAAAAUUGGAGGGUUCUGUUGUUGUAGUUAUAUUUUGUGAUACUACGAUGACUGCUUAUGUUGUUGUAGUUAUAUUUUGUGAUACUACGAUGACUGCUUAUAUAAAGUAUUAAAAUACUUGAUACAUAAUGCAGUCUUAUGUUUGGAAGGACCUUAAACAUAAACAUACACGAUCGGAUGUUGAUACCGGUUAUAAUCAAAGGGACGUAACAGUGUUGCGGAAUAUGAUUUGAAGACGCUGCAUGAUUGACCUUCGAUAAAUCAUACCAGGAAAAUCUAAAACAUACCAGAAAAAUCUAGCGCAUGGCAGUGUGUUAUCCGAUACAUGGUACUUCAGUCGGCAUUAUUGGGGAUUCCCCGGUGUAUUGUGUUAACGUAGCUAACACACUACAUAGUGCUGAUGUGAUAUUUAGAACAUGCUGUGAUUGAAUACAUUGCAAAGGUCAUGCAUGUUAUGAAUGUUAUAGUGUAUGUUACGAAUGUUAAAGUGUAUGUUACGAAUGUUAUACCUCGUUUAUAAUGAUGGAUUCGUUUGAACAAAGCAGUGGGAUAAUAAAGUGAUACACACGCUGUUUUAUUAUUCGAAAGUGAAGGACAAAAAUGGUGUUUGGAACAGCAGAGAAGACAAAUGGAGAUGCCGAAGCGGGCAGUGACGACACCAAUGACGUUACUUCUUCUGCCAUAUCGGACGCCGUUCCUAUUGCACCGGACGGCGGCUAUGGGUGGGUCAUCGUGUUUGCGGUCUUCUGCGGGAAUCUGAUCAUCGAUGGCUGCGCCGGGAGCUUCGGGAUUCUAUAUCCGGAACUCUUGACAGCAUUCGGCGCCAGCGACGCCUUGACCUCUAUGGCUGGAUCGCUCAUCGUGGCGGUUUUCCUGUUCUCCAGUCCGCUAGUAGGGGGCCUUGUCAACCGGUUUGGCUGUCGACUUGUGUGCUUUGUUGGCGGGAUUUUGACAACGAUGGGCUUCAUCCUAGCCACUUUUGCAGGAAGCAUUUACGUCUUUAUGCUAACAUACGGCAUAAUAGGAGGGCUGGGCAUUGGCUUCAACUCACUGAGCGGUCAAGUAAUGGUUAACAGUUAUUUUAGCAGACGUCGCGGUAUUGCUGGGGGCAUUGUGUCUUCUGGAGCUGGAUUUGGCGUCUUAAUAAUGGCGCCUUUAGUACAAUACUUGCUGCAAGAAUAUGCAUUGCGCGGCACUAUUUUACUUGUCGGCGGAAUAACGCUUCAAUUUUGCGUGUUGGCCGUGCUCAUGCGACCUCUUACGCGUAAAGACGUGCACGUGAGUACGAAUACUAGCGAGAGCGAAACAGUUGAUCAUGUUGCAGAACUCAAAAAGGCCCAAUUGCCUGCAGAUACAGCACAACUACCUCUUCUAGGGGAGACACCAAAAAUACUGUCAAACCACGAACACGUCAUUCAUGAAAGACAUAGCUACCUCAUGGAGGACAAGAUAUCAAAAUUGAAAUCUCUACAUUUUGGAGUAGAUCGUGCUAAGAAUCAUUUUAUUUCCACUAUUGAUAUACAUUCAAACAAGAUUGAACAAUCGGAUGUUUCAAAUCUUAAAUCCCUUCCUGAUCUCACAAAACUGAAGGUUUCAGAUGCCUCUUGCUCAAGUCCCGAAACAAUGCGUGUCGACGCAAAUGACCCCUGUCAUCAUAACGGGACGGGCAGACACAGCCAUUCCUACCGGCAGAUUGACAAGCAAAACUGUGAUCUUAAACCACUUUUAAGAAAAGACAUUUUUUACAGUGGCAGCUUACAUCACCUCAAAGAGUUCCAGGAGUCCAAGAAUAUGCAAGCGUUUGUUCAAUCUAUGACUAUUCCCGAUCCAAAAGUAGAAGCAAAAGGCGAGUUUAAUGCUAAUGCUUUAGAAACAGAAACGAAGCCAUCAAAGAGAUUUAAGCUGCUGGAUAUCUUUAAGACUUCAGUGUAUAUACCAAUGCUGCUAGGGGCCAUUUUUAUUCAGAUGGGACAGUUCAUACCCAGUACUUUCCUUCCGAAAUAUUGUGAACAAAUUGGCAUACAAAAUGAUAAGGUGUCGGCCAUUAUUGCUAUAUAUGGUGCAGUGAAUAUAUUUGGGCGACUCAGUGCAGGUGUCCUGGCCAACUUCCCCGUUAUAUCACCGCUUGGCUCUGCAAUGGCUCCGUAUUCCUGUGUGCCGUCAGCUGUGCUCUGUUCCCACUGUGCACCUCAUUUGCUACCCUCUGCGUGUUCGCAGUGGGAUUUGGAUUCUUUAUAGGCUAUUUCCCACCCCUUCAAGUGUUGAUAAUGGUCGAGUACCUGGGUAUUGAACGUCUCACAAUGUCCUUCGGCUUCCUCCAGAUGGCCAAGGGGCCUGCGGCAUUGGUUGGCCCUCCCAUAGCUGGUCUUGUGUACGAG